rnacentral:rRNA from 1 species
UGGCGAACGGGUGAGUAACACGUGGGCAAUCUGCCCUUCACUCUGGGACAAGCCCUGGAAACGGGGUCUAAUACCGGAUAACACUCUGUCCCGCAUGGGACGGGGUUAAAAGCUCCGGCGGUGAAGGAUGAGCCCGCGGCCUAUCAGCUUGUUGGUGGGGUAAUGGCCUACCAAGGCGACGACGGGUAGCCGGCCUGAGAGGGCGACCGGCCACACUGGGACUGAGACACGGCCCAGACUCCUACGGGAGGCAGCAGUGGGGAAUAUUGCACAAUGGGCGAAAGCCUGAUGCAGCGACGCCGCGUGAGGGAUGACGGCCUUCGGGUUGUAAACCUCUUUCAGCAGGGAAGAAGCGAAAGUGACGGUACCUGCAGAAGAAGCGCCGGCUAACUACGUGCCAGCAGCCGCGGUAAUACGUAGGGCGCAAGCGUUGUCCGGAAUUAUUGGGCGUAAAGAGCUCGUAGGCGGCUUGUCACGUCGGAUGUGAAAGCCCGGGGCUUAACCCCGGGUCUGCAUUCGAUACGGGCUAGCUAGAGUGUGGUAGGGGAGAUCGGAAUUCCUGGUGUAGCGGUGAAAUGCGCAGAUAUCAGGAGGAACACCGGUGGCGAAGGCGGAUCUCUGGGCCAUUACUGACGCUGAGGAGCGAAAGCGUGGGGAGCGAACAGGAUUAGAUACCCUGGUAGUCCACGCCGUACACGUUGGGAACUAGGUGUUGGCGACAUUCCACGUCGUCGGUGCCGCAGCUAACGCAUUAAGUUCCCCGCCUGGGGAGUACGGCCGCAAGGCUAAAACUCAUAGGAAUUGACGGGGGCCCGCACAAGCAGCGGGAGCAUGUGGCUUAAUUCGACGCAACGCGGAGAACCCUUACCAAGGCUU